UGCCAGCAGCCGCGGUAAUACGGAGGGUGCGAGCGUUAAUCGGAAUUACUGGGCGUAAAGCGCGCGUAGGCGGCUUUGUAAGUCGGAUGUGAAAGCCCCGGGCUUAACCUGGGAAUUGCAUUCGAUACUGCAUGGCUAGAGUAUGGUAGAGGGAAGUGGAAUUCCGGGUGUAGCGGUGAAAUGCGUAGAUAUCCGGAGGAACACCAGUGGCGAAGGCGACUUCCUGGGCUAAAACUGACGCUGAGGUGCGAAAGCCAGGGGAGCAAACAGGAUUAGAUA
rnacentral:rRNA from 1 species